AGUAGCGAAUAGUAUGGAAGGCUUGUUUGAGGAGCUAGUGAGGCUGAAGGUCCACAGUGUCCCAGUAUCGGAUGAAGGAGUUCCUGGAGUCCCUGUCCAACAAGAGCUCAGAGGCACUGCAGGAGUUCAACCAGCAAGCAGGUGUUAUCACUACAACCACCACCAUGGUUUACCAGCAGGGGGUCAACUGCAUCUACACAGACAGCAACGAGGUGGCUGGGUCACUGCUGGAACUGUCUGUCUGCAACAGCAGGUACAGGUGUCCCAGCAGAAGGUGAUGUCAUGACAGCAGCAGCUCUCGCCCCAUAUGACCACAGCCGCAAGGGCAAGACAUAAUACAGACAAAUGACCUAGGAAGAGCUCACAGUGACAAGAAGCAGAGGUCCUCGGGGGACAGGAUCGUCCUUCCGUCCAGUCUAAAGGAUGAGGGUGGACAGGCAUCACACAUGAAAGUGUGUGAAGAGGUGCAGGAAGAAAAUGCAGAGGCUGUGAAAACCCCAUCUGUCUGUGAACCACUGAUUCUUCAGGAUAUUGAGGACUUGGAGGAGUCUACUGUAAAGGAAAGUCCAGUUCCUCCAAAGGACACUGAAGAUACAGAUAAGGCUUCAACCGAGGGCCAACAACUGGUAGAGGAACACAACCCUGACAUCCUCCUACCUCACCCUGUUGAUGCCCUGGAGAAUGCCUAUGUGAACACCCCCCCUGUUUGUGAACCACUGAUUAUUGAGGACUUGGAGGACUCUCCUGACAAGGAAUAUCCAGCUCCCCGAAAGACUGAGGAUGUAGAAUGUGCUUCAGCACAGGGCCAAGAACAGAUCCAGGUAGAUAAGGACCGAGAUAAGGACAAAGACCAUGAUAUGCCCCUCCCUUGCUGCUUAGAUAACCUGAAGAAGCGCUUCUACCAGAGCAGGGACCGCCAGAUCAGGGAAAGACACUGGGCCCAGUUCAGAGCAGAGACCCUGAGGGUGGCCCACCAAGGGAUAGUUGUCCUGCAACGUGACCUGGAGCUGGAGCUGGAGCGGGUUAGAGAGGGCCUAGAGGAUAGACGGCAGCGCAGAGAGAGGGACCAUUACACUCUGGCCCAAGUGAAGAGAGAGAGACAGAAAAAGAGAGAAGAGCAGAUAAAAGGAUGGAUGGAAAAGUGGAUGAUAGGGAGGGAAGAGGAGAGCCAGGGGGAAGAAGGUGCGGAAGAGGGGGAGACAGAGGAAGAGGAGAAAGAGGGAGAGGAGGAAAGUGAAAAGGAAGAGGAGAGUGAGGAUGAAGAGGGUGAUACAGAGGGAGCGGAAGAGAAGGAGAAAGAGGAGAAGGUGGAGGAGGGAGACAGGGAGGGGAGUGAAGAGGAGAGUGAGGAGGAUGAAGAGAGCGAGGAGGAGGAUGGCAUAGAGACUAUCUGCAAGGAGGUGAAGAUGCAGAUGCACUUGAUCAAGGGCGACAUUGAGCAUGAUAUGAAGAAUGACUAUGAGCAGAACAAGAAUAGGGAAGUCCAGGACCGGAAGAUGUUGACCACCCUGCUGCAGUGCUUGGAGUCAGUCUACCAGACACGCACUGAGGAGAUACUGGGCAAGAUAGGCAUGCUGUGGGACAUCAUGAUCAACAACAUGCUCCAGGACCUCCAUGGAAGGAGAGCAGCCCAGAAGUCAGUGUCUGCCCAGACUGCGCAGUAUCUCCACUUCUGCCACAGUCCCCGUCUGGCCCCCAUUACCCCUCUGACUGAUGCGGGCAGGAGGCUCCUCAAGGGAUGGGCAAGAGGCCAACAGGAUGACGAGGCAAAGAAGACUGGCAAAGGGAAAGGGAAGAAGAAAAAGAAGAAGACACAGAGAGAACAAGUGAAGGAUGAGGAGAAAGACAGUCAGUUGCUGCAGAAGGAGGAAAUGGUGGAAAGUAAGCCAGAAGAGAAUAAAAAGUCAGGGUAAGUGCAGUAAUGAAUUGAUGGAUGAAUGAGAGCCAGAGAGCGAGAGAGAAAAAUAAUGUCGGUUAUCAUAAGUAUAUGAUGAAUGGAAUAUAUUGCCUAUGUACAGUAUGUUGUCUAUAUAUGAUAACUAUAUUGUAUUUUAAAUCACAGGUUUCUCCAAUUGCUGCUGCUCAAACUGACAUGCAUUCAAUGAUGACAAAAUAUUUAGAAAAAAUAAAGUUUGAAACCAGCUUGAUUUUGUUUUUGAUUUUGAUAAUCUUUGGUUUAUCCAUCUGGGUUUCACCCAAUGAUUGCAUAUAAACUCUGGAUUACUGAUACUAUGUAUUGGCCAAUGAGAGGCUUUAAAGCCACCGGUCAGCCAUAUUGGUGCUCCCCAGAAGAAGCAGUCCUCCAUAUGAAUGAAUGGAAUUAUACAGUAUUUCAAUUAAAUGUUCUAAAGACACAUUUGUUGAUGUAGUGGGAACAGUAACAGAACUUAAAAAAAUAUAUACUUAAAGGAAAAUGUUAAUAUAGUUUUCAAUUUUAUGUUCAGUUUAUAUAAUACAAUUUUAAAGUGUGCAUUAAUGUGUCUGUACUAGAAUAAAACUGGCAAAAACAAAUGUAGAUGUUAAUAAAUUGAUUUUUAUAGCUUCCAAAAUAAAAAAAAACACAGUGGAGGAGUGCCAAAUAGGAGGCUGGCUUCAACACAGCGCCUCCUGUUAGGUAUCUAGUAGUAGUGCAUUCUGAGAGUAUUGAGACCCCUCCACUUUUUCCACAUUUUGUUACGUUACCGCCUUAUUUUAAAAUGGAUUUAAAAAAUCAAUCAAUCAAUACAAUAUACCCCAGUAGAAAGAAGAAGAGGAGGAAGCACUGCUAUAAGGUACACAAUAGUAUAUUUUGGUAGAUAGAAGGGGCUCUUUGGUAAAAGGGGUAAAUUGGUUAUCCAAAAGAAAGGAGGACCAAGGCACUCUUCAUAUAAGUAAUUUAAAUGCCUUUAUUUGUAUGGCAUGUUCAAAAACAAAGUUUUUAAAAUCCGAUGCGUUUUGGCUGCAUGGCCUUCCUCAGGGAGUACAAAGAAAUUAUAAUACAAUGUCCUCUUUUGAACAGCGUUUUCCAAUCGGCCCUAAUUUGAAGAGGGAGUGGUUACAAAAUUGAUUGGACAACACCUAGUAAGUAAUACAAAACACAUUAAAAAGUGAAAUUCUGAAGAUAUGUUAUCAAAAAAUUCAACUCCAAGCUAGAAGCAUCAGAAUGCCUUGAAAGGUAGUUCUGACCUUAAAUAUGACUGGGAAAAGUGCCAAGAAUAGGAGAGCCAUCUAUUCCAUAGUACACUAGAACACAGCAAACAUAGCUGAGGGCAAUAGAGCAAAAUGUCCACUCGAUGACAGCAAAGGGACCUAUCACAACCCUACAGGAAAGGUGAGAAAUUCAUAUCUUCAUUUAAACCAGGCAUUUUUUUAUAUUAUGUUGCUUUACAACCUCAAAUUAAAAUACAUUUUUGGGGGGUUUGAAUCAUUUGAUUUACACAACAUGCCUACCACUUUCAAGAUGCAAAAUAUUUUUUAUUGUGAAAUAAGACAAAAAAAACGGAUAACUUGAACGUGCAUAAUUAUUCA
rnacentral:lncRNA from 13 species